rnacentral:lncRNA from 1 species
AUGAACGUCUGCGUAUGCUCGGAGUCCCGUCUCCCCCCUUCGCCUCAGCGAGGGGAGCCCCCAGGAGAGAAGCCUGCUCGCCCGAGCUCUGAGCUGGAGGCCGGGGAGGCCCGAGCCUCCUCUUCCUCGUGUGGCCGGCGACUACUCCUUCAACAGGCCCAGCUUCUUCAGGGCUUCCCUUCUGUGCUCGUCAGGGACGCCUUUGGGGGAGAUCUUGACACUGACGCAGGGGGGGCGAGGCAGCCUGUCGCGGCCCUGCCCUUGGAAGGACAGGCGCUUGGAGGCGCUGGGCUCUGCAGCUCGGCCAGCUCGGCCACCCGGACCCCUGCGAAGUCCUUCCCGGUGCCCAAGGACGCCGGGCGGGGCCGUGUGUUUCGCAGGACGUUGGGAGACACCUUGCCCAAGAAGGAGUCUCUGCCCAGGGACGAGCUGGUUUGGGGGCUGGGGUCCUUCUCCGCCGGGAGGCAGCUGCCCAGGCCCACGCCCGAGCGCUCCAGGGUGUUGGACUUGAAGCUCAUCUGUCUCAGGCCGGGGAUGCUGCUCUCCUGGAGCGUCAGCGCCGGGUCGGGCCUCCGCUGGGUCAGGGGGCCGCCGGCCGCCGGGGCCUUAGGGAUGGGGAUGGGCCCGGAUUUGGUGGCCGGCAGCGGCGGGGAGGCCUGGGCCUGGGCCGGGGUCGGGGUCGGGGCCGGGGUUGGGGCUGAGGUCAGAGCCGAGGUCGGGGCCGGGGUCGGGGCUGGGGUCGGGGCCAAGGUCGGACCCGGGGUCGGGGCCGAGGUAGGGGCCGAAGUCCAGGCCAGGGUCGGGGCUGAGGUCAGGGUCGGGGCCCGCGUGGGGGCAGGGCCCGGAGCCGCACCAGCAGGUGCAGCGGCCUGGGGGCCGGGCCUGGGCCGGGGGCCGGGGCAGCCGGCGCGGCCACUGAAGUGGGGUCCGGGCUGGUCCUGGUCCUGGGGUAACCCCAGCUUCUCCAGCGCCUCCCGGCGCGCCCUCCUCUGCUCCUGCAGCGAGGUGGCGGCGGGGCCGGAGUCUCCGGGGCCGCCGUCGGGGUGGCGGGACAGCCAGUUCUGGGGCUCACCAUGGAGCCCGCUCCGACUGCUCUUCAGGACAAUAUUGGGGGGCAGCUUCCGGGGCUUGGGGGCCAGGAGUGGGGCCAGCCGGGCACCGGGGUCCGCGCCCGCGGGGCUGGCAGCAUCAUGGGCUCUCGCAGCCUGGGACCCCGGGGUGGGGGGAGGCGCGGGGCCGCCCUCCUGGGGCUCCUGCCACAUGGCCUUUGUCGCCAGGGGGCUGAGGGCCCGUGGCCCCGGGUGGCCGUCACGGGAGGCCCCGCCUGCCUGA